AGAGUUUGAUCAUGGCUCAGAACGAACGCUGGCGGCGUGCUUAACACACGCAAGUCGAACGCGAACGAGUUCUUCGGAACUUUAGUAGAGUGGCGCACGGGUGAGUAACGCGUAAGUAAUCUACCCUCGCAUUUGGGAUAACCCACCGAAAGGUGUGCUAAUACCGGAUACGUCUAUUUUAAUAUCUUUUUGAUAGAGAAAGGUGGCCUCUGAUUUAAGCCACUGUGCGGGGAGGAGCUUGCGUACCAUUAGCUAGUUGGUAGGGUAACGGCCUACCAAGGCAACGAUGGUUAGCGGGUCUGAGAGGAUGAUCCGCCACACUGGAACUGGAACACGGACCAGACUCCUACGGGAGGCAGCAGUGAGGAAUAUUGCGCAAUGGGGGCAACCCUGACGCAGCGACGCCGCGUGGAUGAUGAAGGCCUUCGGGUUGUAAAAUCCUGUCAGAUGGGAAGAAGUGCCAGUUAUCUAAUAGGUGAUUGGUUUGACGGUACCAUCAAAGGAAGCACCGGCUAACUCCGUGCCAGCAGCCGCGGUAAUACGGAGGGUGCAAGCGUUGUUCGGAAUUACUGGGCGUAAAGCGCGCGUAGGCGGCUUCUUAAGUCAGAUGUGAAAGUCCAUGGCUCAACCAUGGAAGUGCAUUUGAAACUGGGGAGCUUGAGUACUGGAGGGGGUAGUGGAAUUCCCGGUGUAGAGGUG
rnacentral:rRNA from 1 species